rnacentral:lncRNA from 1 species
UGAACUGUGGGUAGAACCCGGUUAUUGCAUUGGUUCGGCCACAACUGCGAGUCUGCGAGCAAGCCCGCACGGCUGCACCACCUUCUCCUCCUUCUCGACUCGGCCGCCGCACGCACAAGCUCCUCCCCGCCGGGCGCCGGCCGCAACACGCCCGCACCACCUCCUCCCCUGCUGGAGCGCGUGAGAAGGGCCGCUGCACGCAGGUCUCCUCCCCUGCUGGAGCGCGUGAGAAGGGCCGCUGCACGCAGGUACUCCCUCCAUCUUCCACCUCCCACCCUGAU